UAUUAAAAAAUUUAUCUAUUUGUACUGUUAAAAAUGGGUGUGACUAAAGGAAUAACCAGAUAAUGACACGUGCUAUUCCACAUGUACCUCAUGUUGACAUACAUGGACCAAUUUUUAACAAAAUGAUCGGUUUACUCUUUAAUC
rfam:Gossypium raimondii Chr08_contig_712, whole genome shotgun sequence.